AGGACGAACGCUGGCGGCGUGCGUAACACAUGCAAGUCGAACGAGUGCAGCAAUGCACGAGUGGCGGACGGGUGAGGAACACGUGGCUACCAACCUGACACUGGGGAAUACCCGUGGGAAACCACGGCUAAUACCGCAUACGCCCGCAAGGGGAAAGGCUUAGGCCGGUGACAGACGGGGCUGCGCCCGAUUAGCUAGUUGGUGGGGUAAUGGCCUACCAAGGCGACGAUCGGUAACUGGUCUGAGAGGAUGGCCAGUCACAUUGGGAUUGAGAACGGCCCAAAUCCCUACGGGGAGCAGCAGUGAGGAAUAUUCGGCAAUGGGCGCAAGCCUGACCGAGCGACGCCGCGUGCGGGAAGACGCUUCUCGGAGUGUAAACCGCUUUUCUCUGUGACGAGACAGGACGGUAGCAGAGGAAGAAGUCUCGGCUAACUACGUGCCAGCAGCCGC
rnacentral:rRNA from 1 species